rnacentral:misc_RNA from 1 species
CAGGAUUCUUGGAUAUUCAGCUGAAAAGGGGAAGAAAAGAAGGGUGAAGAUAGCUGCAUACAGGAAGGUUUAUGUGAAGCCAUCAAAGACACACCAACACACAACUUGGAGGUCUCAGAAGGAUGAGAAAUGGAAGCUCAAUUUUACUCCUCACUAUAAUGUGAUUGGCUUCUUUUACAUUAUCCUUGUGGCUGCUUCAAGCCGCCUUCAACCACCAAAGUAUGCAAGUCCUUCACCCACUACCAGCACCCUCUUGCUACAGGGGCUUUCAUUGGAACCUCAUGAAAAUCCUCUUUCAAGUUUGCAACUUGCGAGAAUGACCCAAA